GAUGAAGAACGUAGUGAAAUGCGAUAAGUAAUGUGAAUUGCAGAAUUCAGUGAAUCAUCGAAUCUUUGAACGCACCUUGCACCCUUUGGCAUUCCGAAGGGUAUGCUCGUUUGAGUGUCAUUGUACUCUCACACUCUCCGAUCCUAUGGAUUCGGGGAGCGGUGGACUUGGGUUUUGCUGCCUUUCCUUGUGGCUCACCUCAAAUGUGUCAGUGCACCUCUUGGUUGGACAUAGUACGGCGUGAUAAGUGUCUUCGCCGGCACCUCGCAAGAGGGUGGCCGAUCGGGAGCUCUGUGCUUUCAAACCGUCUUCGGACAAUUUCUGACAACUUGACCUCAAAUCGAGUAGGACUACCCGCUGAACUUAAGCAUAUCAAUAAGCGGAGGA
rnacentral:misc_RNA from 1 species